rnacentral:rRNA from 1 species
AGUGAACGCUGGCGGUAGGCCUAACACAUGCAAGUCGAACGGCAGCACAGUAAGAGCUUGCUCUUACGGGUGGCGAGUGGCGGACGGGUGAGGAAUACAUCGGAAUCUACUUUUUCGUGGGGGAUAACGUAGGGAAACUUACGCUAAUACCGCAUACGACCUACGGGUGAAAGCAGGGGAUCUUCGGACCUUGCGCGAUUGAAUGAGCCGAUGUCGGAUUAGCUAGUUGGCGGGGUAAAGGCCCACCAAGGCGACGAUCCGUAGCUGGUCUGAGAGGAUGAUCAGCCACACUGGAGCUAAGACACGGUCCAGACUCCUACGGGAGGCAGCAGUGGGGAAUAUUGGACAAUGGGCACAAGCCUGAUCCAGCCAUACCGCGUGGGUGAAGAAGGCCUUCGGGUUGUAAAGCCCUUUUGUUGGGAAAGAAAAGCAGCAGGUUAAUACCCCGCUGUUCUGACGGUACCCAAAGAAUAAGCACCGGCUAACUUCGU